UACAUCACUCACAUCGAGAGACAUUCUUUGUAGCCUAAAUGGAUAGUAGCAAUAGAUUUGGUUAGUCAGAUGCACCCUUUCUCCCAGUGGUAAAAAUAUAAAUACGAUACUCUAGAAAACCUCCCGGGUGAAAUGCUCACCGAUAUCCGUGCGCUUGCGGAUCAUUUCCUUAUUGCGUUACCAAAUAUCAACAGAUAGUGCAACACGGUGACCUGUAGCUCACUUGAUCAGUGAGUGUGGUUUGUGUGGGGAAUACCUCGCCAGCUGGUUAGAAAUCGAUUCGAAUCACCAUCG
rnacentral:lncRNA from 1 species